rnacentral:rRNA from 1 species
AUUGAACGCUGGCGGCAUGCCUUACACAUGCAAGUCGAACGGUAACAGGUCUUCGGAUGCUGACGAGUGGCGAACGGGUGAGUAAUACAUCGGAACGUGCCUAGUAGUGGGGGAUAACUACUCGAAAGAGUGGCUAAUACCGCAUGAGAUCUACGGGUGAAAGCAGGGGAUCGCAAGACCUUGUGCUACUAGAGCGGCCGAUGGCAGAUUAGGUAGUUGGUGGGAUAAAAGCUUACCAAGCCGACGAUCUGUAGCUGGUCUGAGAGGACGAUCAGCCACACUGGGACUGAGAGACGGCCCAGACUCAUACGGGGGGCAGCAGUGGGGAAUUUUGGACAAUGGGCGCAAGCCUGAUCCAGCAAUGCGGCGUGCAGGAUGAAGGCCUUCGGGUUGUAAACUGCUUUUGUACGGAACGAAAAGCCCUGGGUUAAUACCCUGGGGUCAUGACGGUACCGUAAGAAUAAGCACCGGCUAACUACGUGCCAGCCGCCGCCGUAA